UACGGAGGGUGCGAGCGUUGUCCGGAAUCACUGGGCGUAAAGGGCGCGUAGGCGGCCUGAUAAGUAGGAGGUGAAAUCCUGCGGCUUAACCGCAGGGCUGCCUUCUAAACUGUCAGGCUCGAGCACAGUAGAGGCAGGUGGAAUUCCCGGUGUAGCGGUGGAAUGCGUAGAGAUCGGGAGGAACACCGGUGGCGAAGGCGGGUCUCUGGGCCGAUACUGACGCUGAGGAGCGAAAGCGUGGGGAGCGAACAGG
rnacentral:rRNA from 1 species